UUUGGCGCUUAUUGUUGAGUAUAUUUAGCUCAGCAUUACCCUCUUAACAACACCUCUGGGUUGCUUUAUUUGAGGCACGUAAAGGAGACUUAGCAUCAAGGAAAAUUUGGGGUAGCCGAUGCAGGAACAAAUACUGUUCUCUGACAGAACUUUGCACGCUAUGGCCAUUUUGUCGCAUUUCCGAGAGAUCUCUCGACGAGUAUCCGGAAUUGCUCGGUCCAGUCGACACGCUCGUGUUUCUGAGGCCGUAAUAUAGAACGUAGAAUUAUCAAGAUAUUUCGAUGGUUCCGAGUCGUGUCUUGAUCGAAUCGACGAAUUUGAGUCGCUGCAAACAAACUACAUGAAAAUAAGAUUGCUGCGGACAUUUGGAAAGCGAAGACUACAGCUGCUUCGAGUCGAGAAAGCACGAUUAAUAUUUUUCGCUUUGGUUUCUUGCACAUUUUGAGCCCAAAAAUCCGACUGUGCUCGCCAAAAUGUCUUGCUUAUCGAAUCGAUCGAGUGAUAGCAAAUUUUCCACUGCAAUGAGCAGAGAAAUUUUAUUAACUCUGUAGCUUUAAGUCGUGGCUCGCUAAAUUCGACGGAUUUAUGUUCUCAAGUUCGAAAAUCUCAGAAUAAGUUAGUUUAAAACAUUUGAAACGUAUGCUGUAUCAUGCUAGCAAGACUGCAGAAUCGCUGAGACUCUGGUCUUUGCUUCUAUCGAUUUCAGAGUCAAUAAUGAACUCUAGUUCCUAAAGUUUGGGCUUUUCCACAAUUUUGAGGCUCAGAAACAAUGGAAAUAUUGAUCCUCUGUUUACAUUAAUCGACUGCUGUACUCUACUGCUUUGAGAAGUCAAAAAAUUGUAAAAUCUUGAUGGCUCUCAGUCGUUGUUUAAUUAUCUAAUCAGAUUCUAGUUUCCGAGAUCAAAAUACAUACAACCACUACUCUGUCAUCUUUGUUUAUUAUUUUCCCCUUUUCUCCUGCAUCUUUCUCAAGUUUUAUCUAAUUUUGAACGAAUAAGUGGACUUCCUUCAUGGCCUGUGGGUUUUUGACGCCCUGCAGCUAGAGUAACACGACCGGAGACUUGUUUCCAGAUUUUGACCGAAUAUUUUCUAUUUCUUGCUACAUUUCGUGAUUUUUUUUCGAUUUUUAGUCAAUUUUUUGAUUGAUCCGUCAAUGACUGCAUCUCCCGGCCUUCCUGGAGGUUCCCUGUGAUCCAGAACUGAAGGUACGUCAUCCUACAUUAAUUCCUGAUUUUUUUCUGAUUUUUUGCGAAUUUUUCCUAUUUUUUCCGAUAUAUUAAAUUAUGUUUGAAUUUUUCCGCCAUUG
rnacentral:lncRNA from 1 species